UGGAUAACCUGCUUCAACUGUACUCUACUCACAAUGAACGACAACAAUGCAACAUAUUCGGGGCGAUUGAGCUCCAGAUAUCCGGAGAUGCCCAGAAGGUUCCUAGAAUGCUGCAAAUCAACAACUGGUCCCAACUGAGGGAAGCUUUAAUCUCCGAAUACAAGACGCAAACACCCGUGGAAGAACUACUGCGAAGACUAUAUAAUACCAAUUAUCAAGGAGGACGAAGUUCCAAAACAGGACAUAUAACAUUCAUUUUUCUGGCACUAAUGAUGUCAACACUAUUACCAGGAAGUAAUAACCAGUUUAUAGAUAUUAACCCUAUUAAAUCAAAUAAGGACUUACUCUUUAAAAUAGGCAUGAUAGACAUACCCGAUAAUUACGAGCACCAUUGUCUCACAAUAAAUUUAACAAAGACAGAAGACACAUAUGACAAAUUAAUGUUACAAACAAACAAAUUUAAGGACAGAAUACAAAUUCAAUAUUUGACAGAAAAGUUGCAAAGAGAAAUAAACGGUAUCCGAAUAGUAAAAAGAAGUAAGAGAGGAUUACUUAAUUUCGUAGGAACAACAUACAAAUACUUAUUUGGAACUUUAGAUAACAACGAUAAGGAGGAACUUGAAGAAAAAAUGAAUUCAAUAGCUCAAAAUAGUAUUCAAAUAAACGAACUCAACCAUGUAAUUGAAGCGGUCAACCAAGGAAUAGAAAUAGUAAACAAAGAAAGAGAAGAAAGAGAAGAAUUUAAAGUACUGGAACUACUUGCAUUCAACUUACAACAAUUCACAGAAUAUAUUGAAGAUUUAGAAAUGGGAAUGCAACUAACUAGAUUGGGAAUUUUUAAUCCAAAAUUAUUAAAACACGACUAUCUCACAAACGUUAAUUCCGAAAAGCUACUUAACAUAAAAACAUCUACUUGGCUUAGAUCAGAUACGAAUGAAAUUUUGAUUAUUUCACACAUUCCUAGAGAAAUAAAUAAAACCCCAUUAUACGAAAUUCUACCCUACCCGGACGAUGAUAAAAAUAUUUUACAAGACGAAACACAAUACAAAUACUACUCACAUAAUAAUAAUUUAUACAACAAGGACAAGAAAAAAUUAACUAUUAACCAAUGCAUAUUAGGUAUAAUAAAACAAACUAACACUAGUUGCAGAUUUUCAAAAACACAUCUAAUAACACAAACUAACUAUAUCGAACCAAAUAUACUUAUAACAUGGAACUUACCCAAAAUCACAUUGAAUCAAAACUGUAUUAAAAAUGAUAUCUUAAUUGAGGGAAAUAACAUAAUAAAAAUUCAUAAUUGCUCAGCAAUACUUAAUGAGAUAUCUAUAAGCAAUUUGAACUCAGACUACACACAGAGUAUAUACGUAAGAAAUAAUAUUACUAAAUUAAAGCCACUUUCGUACAUUCAAACAAAAGAAAUAAUUUUCGAAAAUAUUAAAGAAAUGAAAAUAUUCCAAAUUAUAAUAAUUACAGUAUUUGUAAUCAUCAUAUUAAUCAUAAUAAUGUAUCUAGCAUAUAAGUUUAAAAAUAUACCCAAACAAAUAUUUAUUAAGAAACUAAAUGUUAUUGAUCAGCCACCUGCACAACUCCCAGUUGAACUUGAAAUUGAAAAUGAACAAGAAAAUUUAAAUAUGUUACCAAAAUUGUAUCCUAGCAUUUAAAGAAUAUUUUUUAUUAUACUUACCUUUUUCAUAUACCCUACACGCGUGAGGACACGCUUUAUUUUUAGUGGGGAGGAGUGACAUAUUCACAACAACAGCAUUUUGAACCACUGUUAUUCAUAAGCUACAUUGCAUGGCAUAACCCACUGUGUGUUUACAAAUUGAAUAAUCAUAACAAUAACAUGCCUUCUGCAUCCGAAUUCAAAUAACGCUAACAGCAGCAAAAAUCCUAAGAGCAGAAUGCCUUCUGCAGCCAAGCUCACAUAUUGUCAACAAUCAUUUAUAAACAAAAACUGACCAACAGAAUCUCUGCAGCCGAGCUCACAUAUUGUCAACAAUCAUUUAUAAACAAAAACUGAUCAACAGAAAGGCGCUAGCAUAAACAAGCUGCAGCCGCUGUCCCUUUGCAAAAAGUCACGUACUCCAAUUAUUAUUUAGCUUUAAAUAUAGCGUAAGCCAAUUUUUGUACUUCAGUCUUAAUCCAGAUAUUCAACAUAAUAAACUGAUAAAAAUUCA